rnacentral:rRNA from 1 species
AUUGAACGCUGGCGGCAUGCCUUACACAUGCAAGUCGAACGGCAGCACGGACUUCGGUCUGGUGGCGAGUGGCGAACGGGUGAGUAAUAUAUCGGAACAUACCUUGUAGUGGGGGAUAACUAUCCGAAAGGAUAGCUAAUACCGCAUACGCUCUAAGGAGGAAAGCGGGGGAUCGUAAGACCUCGUGCUAUAAGAGUGGCCGAUAUCUGAUUAGCUAGUUGGUGGGGUAAAGGCUCACCAAGGCGACGAUCAGUAGCUGGUCUGAGAGGACGACAAGCCACACUGGAACGGAGACACGGUCCAGACUCCUACGGGAGGCAGAAGUGGGGAAUUUUGGACAAUGGGGGCAACCCUGAUCCAGCAAUGCCGCGUGAGUGAAGAAGGCCUUCGGGUUGUAAAGCUCUUUUGUCAGGGAAGAAACGGUUGUGGCUAAUAUCCAUGGCUAAUGACGGUACCUGAAGAAUAAGCACCGGCUAACUACGUGCCAGCAGCCGCCGUAAAAC